CGGCGUGCUUAACACAUGCAAGUCGAACGAUGAAGCCCAGCUUGCUGGGUGGAUUAGUGGCGAACGGGUGAGUAACACGUGAGUAACCUGCCCCCGACUCAGGGAUAAGCCCGGGAAACUGGGUCUAAUACCGGAUAUGACCAUGGAACGCAUGUUUUGUGGUGGAAAGAUUUAUCGGUGGGGGAUGGACUCGCGGCCUACCAGCUUGUUGGUGAGGUAAUGGCUCACCAAGGCGACGACGGGUAGCCGGCCUGAGAGGGUGACCGGCCACACUGGGACUGAGACACGGCCCAGACUCCUACGGGAGGCAGCAGUGGGGAAUAUUGCACAAUGGGCGCAAGCCUGAUGCAGCGACGCCGCGUGAGGGAUGACGGCCUUCGGGUUGUAAACCUCUUUCAGUAGGGAAGAAGCGAAAGUGACGGUACCUGCAGAAGAAGCGCCGGCUAACUACGUGCCAGCAGCCGCGGUAAUACGUAGGGCGCAAGCGUUAUCCGGAUUUAUUGGGCGUAAAGAGCUCGUAGGCGGUUUGUCGCGUCUGCCGUGAAAGUCCGAGGCUCAACCUCGGAUCUGCGGUGGGUACGGGCAGACUAGAGUGAUGUAGGGGAGACUGGAAUUCCUGGUGUAGCGGUGAAAUGCGCAGAUAUCAGGAGGAACACGAUGGCGAAGGCAGGUCUCUGGGCAUUUACUGACGCUGAGGAGCGAAAGCAUGGGGAGCGAACAGGAUUAGAUACCCUGGUAGUCCAUGCCGUAAACGUUGGGCACUAGGUGUGGGGGACAUUCCACGUUUUCCGCGCCGUAGCUAACGCAUUAAGUGCCCCGCCUGGGGAGUACGGCCGCAAGGCUAAAACUCAAAGGAAUUGACGGGGGCCCGCACAAGCGGCGGAGCAUGCGGAUUAAUUCGAUGCAACGCGAAGAACCUUACCAAGGCUUGACAUGUGCCAGACCGCUCCAGAGAUGGGGUUUCCCUUCGGGGCUGGUUCACAGGUGGUGCAUGGUUGUCGUCAGCUCGUGUCGUGAGAUGUUGGGUUAAGUCCCGCAACGAGCGCAACCCUCGUUCCAUGUUGCCAGCACGUAGUGGUGGGGACUCAUGGGAGACUGCCGGGGUCAACUCGGAGGAAGGUGGGGAUGACGUCAAAUCAUCAUGCCCCUUAUGUCUUGGGCUUCACGCAUGCUACAAUGGCCGGUACAAUGGGUUGCGAUACUGUGAGGUGGAGCUAAUCCCUAAAAGCCGGUCUCAGUUCGGAUUGGGGUCUGCAACUCGACCCCAUGAAGUCGGAGUCGCUAGUAAUCGCAGAUCAGCAACGCUGCGGUGAAUACGUUCCCGGGCCUUGUACACACCGCCCGUCAAGUCACGAAAGUUGGUAACACCCGAAGCCGAUGGCCUAACCACCUUGUGUGGGGGGAGUCGUCGAAGGUGGGACUGG
rnacentral:rRNA from 1 species